rnacentral:rRNA from 1 species
AUGGCGGCGGCGCGGUCGGCAUUGGCGUCUGCCGGCCGUGCGGCGAACGAGGCCGUCAGCUUCGUGGUGUUCAUGCUGCUGGACGCGCUGGAGCUGCUGCUCUGCCUUCUCUACAAGGUCGCCGACUACGUGGCCGAGGGCGCGUGGCGGCCGUGCUACUGCUCGUCCUCGGCCGUGGCCGCGCCGGGGAAGAUCGUCGUGGCGGAGCGCGGCGGCUCCAAGGUGGUCAGCAUGCUCUCCUCCACCAAGCUGCUCCUGGAGGACGUCUCCGACACGCUGUACACGCGCCCGUCCCUGCUCGCCGGCGCCGCCGGGUCGUCGUCGCCGCCGUCCUUCUCCCGGCGCCGGGAGAAGGCCAGGCCGUCGGCGUCGGCCACCACGCUCACCGUGCACUCGGCCAUCGUGCAGAUCCUGCGGGGCAAGGCCGCCGGCGCCGGCGACGACGAGCACAAGCCGUACCCCUCGCCGCGUUGGUCCGACUGCCACUGCGCCAACUGCAACCCCGCCGACGCCGACCGCCUCUUCGUCCACGUCGAGGGACCCCACGACGGCGGCGACACGGAGGAGGACGUGCUGUUCAUCCACGGGUUCAUAUCGUCGUCCGGGUUCUGGACGGAGACGGUGCUGCCGCACGUGAGCCGGGAGGCGCGGGCGCGGCGGCGGCUGUUCGCGGUGGACCUCCUCGGGUUCGGGCGCAGCCCCAAGCCGGCGGACUCGCUGUACACGCUCCGGGAGCACGUGGAGAUGAUCGAGCGCUCCGUCAUCGAGCGGUACAAGGUCGGGGCGUUCCACAUCGUCGCGCACUCGCUCGGCUCCAUCCUCGCGCUCGCGCUCGCCGUCAAGUACCCCGCCGCCGUCAGGUCCAUCACCCUCGUCGCGCCGCCGUACUUCCCGGUGCCCAAGGGGGAGAUGGGGACGCAGUACGUGCUGCGGGCGGUGGCGCCCCGGCGGGUGUGGCCGGCGAUAGCGUUCGGCGCGUCGGUGGCGUGCUGGUACGAGCACCUCGGCCGCACCGUCAGCAUCGUGCUCUGCAAGCACCACCGCCUCUGGGAGCUCGCCUUCCGCGUCUUCACCUUGUACAGGGUGAGGACUUACCUGAUGGACGGCUUCUUCUGCCACACCCACAUCGCCUCGUGGCACACCCUCCACAACAUCAUCUGCGGCAGCGCCGGCAAGAUCGACAAGUGCCUCGAGGCCGUCCGGGACCAGCUCACCUGCGGCGUCAACAUCUACCACGGCGGCGACGACGAGCUCCUCCCCGUGGGCUGCAGCUACGCGGUGCAGUCCAAGAUCCCGCGCGCCAACGUCAAGGUGAUCGACGGCAAGGACCACGUCACCAUCGUCGUCCAGCGCCAGAGGGAGCUCGCCAGGGAGCUGGAGGAGAUCUGGGACACCAAACGGUGA